UGGGGAAUUUUGGACAAUGGGCGCAAGCCUGAUCCAGCCAUGCCGCGUGCGGGAAGAAGGCCUUCGGGUUGUAAACCGCUUUUGUCAGGGAAGAAAUCUUCUGAGUUAAUACCUCGGGAGGAUGACGGUACCUGAAGAAUAAGCACCGGCUAACUACGUGCCAGCAGCCGCGGUAAUACGUAGGGUGCAAGCGUUAAUCGGAAUUACUGGGCGUAAAGCGUGCGCAGGCGGUUUUGUAAGACAGAGGUGAAAUCCCCGGGCUCAACCUGGGAACUGCCUUUGUGACUGCAAGGCUUGAGUGCGGCAGAGGGGGAUGGAAUUCCGCGUGUAGCAGUGAAAUGCGUAGAUAUGCGGAGGAACACCGAUGGCGAAGGCAAUCCCCUGGGCCUGCACUGACGCUCAUGCACGAAAGCGUGGGGAGCAAACAGGAUUAGAUACCCUGGUAGUCCACGCCCUAAACGAUGUCAACUGGUUGUU
rnacentral:rRNA from 1 species